UCAGAUUGAACGCUGGCGGCAGGCCUAACACAUGCAAGUCGAGCGGUAGCACAAGAGAGCUUGCUCUCUGGGUGACGAGCGGCGGACGGGUGAGUAAUGUCUGGGAAACUGCCUGAUGGAGGGGGAUAACUACUGGAAACGGUAGCUAAUACCGCAUGAUGUCUUCGGACCAAAGUGGGGGACCUUCGGGCCUCACGCCAUCAGAUGUGCCCAGAUGGGAUUAGCUAGUAGGUGGGGUAAUGGCUCACCUAGGCGACGAUCUCUAGCUGGUCUGAGAGGAUGACCAGCCACACUGGAACUGAGACACGGUCCAGACUCCUACGGGAGGCAGCAGUGGGGAAUAUUGCACAAUGGGCGCAAGCCUGAUGCAGCCAUGCCGCGUGUAUGAAGAAGGCCUUCGGGUUGUAAAGUACUUUCAGCGAGGAGGAAGGCAUUGUGGUUAAUAACCGCAGUGAUUGACGUUACUCGCAGAAGAAGCACCGGCUAACUCCGUGCCAGCAGCCGCGGUAAUACGGAGGGUGCAAGCGUUAAUCGGAAUUACUGGGCGUAAAGCGCACGCAGGCGGUUGAUUAAGUCAGAUGUGAAAUCCCCGAGCUUAACUUGGGAACUGCAUUUGAAACUGGUCAGCUAGAGUCUUGUAGAGGGGGGUAGAAUUCCAGGUGUAGCGGUGAAAUGCGUAGAGAUCUGGAGGAAUACCGGUGGCGAAGGCGGCCCCCUGGACAAAGACUGACGCUCAGGUGCGAAAGCGUGGG
rnacentral:rRNA from 1 species